UCAAACUUGGUCAUUUAGAGGAAGUAAAAGUCGUAACAAGGUUUCCGUAGGUGAACCUGCGGAAGGAUCAUUAAGAGAAAAUCCUAAGGUUUUUUUUUCCAAAGUGAUUGCUGCCUCUCCGGCGGUAGUCUCCUUUGAAAGAAGAAAAAACCCUUCGAUAUCCACAUUCACCCUGUGUGCACUCAUUUGGAACCGAAUCUUUUUUAUUUGGUUCCCAAACAUUUUUCCAUACGCUUUAAUGUUUGUCUGAAAAAAUUUUUUCAAAAAAAAUUGUGAUAAUACAACUUUCAACAACGGAUCUCCCGGCUCUCGCAUCGAUGAAGAACGCAGC
rnacentral:misc_RNA from 1 species